UACGGAGGGUGCGAGCGUUGUCCGGAAUCACUGGGCGUAAAGGGCGCGUAGGUGGCCUGUGGAAGUCUGCGGUGAAAGCCCGGAGCUCAACUCCGGGUCGGCCGUCGAUACUUCCGGGCUUGAGCACUGUAGAGGCAGAUGGAAUUCCGGGUGUAGCGGUGGAAUGCGUAGAGAUCCGGAAGAACACCGGUGGCGAAGGCGGUCUGCUGGGCAGUGGCUGACGCUGAGGCGCGACAGCGUGGGGAGCAAACAGG
rnacentral:rRNA from 1 species